rnacentral:rRNA from 1 species
GUAAACCAAGGCAGCAACUCCCACUGCCCGCCAGAGUACUACAAGUGAAAAACUUAAAACUCAAAGGACUUGACGGCAUUCCACACCACACUAGAGGAGCCUGUCCUAUAAUCGAUAACCCACGUUUCACCUCACCUGCCCUUGCACCAGCCUAUAUACCGCCGUCCCCAGCUCGCCUUACAAAAGCACAACAACGAGCAAACCAGAGCACUGACACGUCAGGUCAAGGUGUAGCCAACGGGCAGGCAGAGAUGGGCUACAUUUUCUGCCCAACAGAACACCACCACCCGCACCAUGAAACAAGUACACAAAGGAGGAUUUAGCAGUAAGCCACGCAAGACAGCCUGACUGAA